rnacentral:rRNA from 1 species
UACGGGGGGAGCAAGCGUUGUUCGGAAUCACUGGGCGUAAAGGGCGCGUAGGCGGCUUUAUAAGUCGGGGGUGAAAGCCUGUGGCUCAACCACAGAAUUGCCUUCGAUACUGUAGAGCUUGAGACCGGAAGAGGUAAGUGGAACUGCGAGUGUAGAGGUGAAAUUCGUAGAUAUUCGCAAGAACACCAGUGGCGAAGGCGGCUUACUGGUCCGGUUCUGACGCUGAGGCGCGAAAGCGUGGGGAGCAAACAGGG